CGUGAUUUUGAAGACUAUCUUGAGAUGACUUAUUUUCCAGGAAGGUGGUGCUAUUAAAUGAAAAACCUGAUUGAAAAUGUUUUUAGAGUAGGUGAAAGAUUAAGAAUGUAUCUACAUUAAAUAUAAAUAACAUGAAUUUGAUUUCCUACAUUUAAGUAAUGAAAAUCCAGUAUUUCUAUGGGGAUCCCCAAACACUUCUAGACUUCCGCGCACGCAUCCUGCACGAUUUUCCCUCUCCUUAAAUCUGCAUUUUGUGAAAUACCUAAAUAAUAAAUCGCAAUAGAGGUACCAGGGCCAUCUAUAUGGUUAAAUAUAAAUAUAUAUACAUCUUUGUUUUUGGUACUAAACUUUCCCAUGGGGUUUGAUUAGUAGUGUACACGAAGUUUCCAACGCAGAAUACAUACAAAGAAUUUUUCCAAGUAAAAUGGACCUGAAAUGCUUUCUUAUACCAGGAGAACAAAAGAAGUUUCCAAUGAAGCAUCACAUCUAUCAUACCCAAACCGCCUACCCAUUUCUCCAUUUGUAAUCUCAUUUUUUUAAAACAUUUUAUAGAAUGCCGUUAUCCAAAUACUCUCAACCAAACAAAGAUAUACGAAAUAUCGAAUAUCCUCGGAUCUCUACUUCACACCAAGAAUAUUUCAAGAUGAAUAAAAAUUAAUUACUGAUGUGUGAUUGCUUUUAUUAUUAUUCAUGUAUUCAUAGUACCUUUGAUGUAUUACAAACGAGUAAAUGAAUAUAGAUUCAUUCUUAUAUAUGCUAUCAAAGUAACCAGUCAUUUUUUAUUUCAUAAUCUUUAAGGAUUAUUUAGUGCAACGUAUUUGUAAUUAUAAUUAUUAACCGUGGUGCAGUCGGCAAUUAACCAAUCAAGUAAUUAAGUCAAAGUUAAUCAAGUACAUAAUAUCUUGAAAACGACGAAUAAGGAAGAUUGAUAAAAUUGAGAUAAUACAUAUUAAACGUGGAUGGUGAGAGGUUGCAUAUAUUUGGAAAAGUUCCGUGAGCAAGUAGGUAUAUUAAUAUAAGUACAUUGUUUGUCGUGUAUAUAUUUAUGCGACGUGAUUCAAAAUGAUUGUUGUUGUUAGUGCAUUUGACUUUUUCAUUAAUUAAAGAUGGCUACCAAAACAAAGAACAGCUAUUCAGGAAUUAAAGGAACAAUUUCAAAGGUAUCACGAAGUUUUUGGCGAGGGAAGAGUGUUUCUUAUAAAAGCUACGGAAGUUAUUCGUUCCAAUUCUUUUCGGUCUACUUGUCUAUCUACUCCAGCCGUUGAUGGGUACAUGAUUUGUAUACCAAACGAUUAUCUCAAGCCCAAACCCUUGCACAUAUGUAACACAGUAGAGCAAAUGAAGAAUUGGUUCAGUAGAUUCAAGUCAUACUAUUCUACUAGUAAUAUGAAAAUUAUUCCAAUUCAAGAUCAACUACUUCCGUAGUUGUUUCUCUAUUGAAUAGGAAAAAGCUAUUGCCUCGAAAACUAUAUCAGAUACACCUAUAUUUGGCGAAGAUAACAACAGUUGCAAGUAAUAAAUUUUAGAAGAAUUUCUUGAAAUAUAUGCAUUGUUUUCAAGAAGAUCAAAAUACUUCAGGGCCACUCAAAAAGAAGAUGAAGAUAUUUCUGAUUUCGAUAGAAGAUGAGACAUUUUAGAAGACGAAGGAGACGUAAAGAAUAUGUCUAUUGAACAUUUGUAUAUUUUUCGAUGCAUUUUUGUAACGAUUAACUACGAAUUGAGACAAGAAUAUCUCAAGGCAGGUGGAAAUUUAAUAAGAGAGACAUUGAAUAAAAUUACAAAAUCUUACGAAACAAGGGGAGUUAAUAAAAGGGAAGUGAAAUCACAAGGUGUUCAAGACUCUAUUAAUGCUGUUCGAAGAGGAAGAAAAUUUGAAAAUAAGUCAUUGACCCCAAAAGGUAACAUUAAUAGAUUUGGUUAUUUAAAAGGAAAUCGACGAUAUAUCAAUAGCCGAAAGAAUACAAGUAGCAUUUCUAUGUCAAAAGGUUGUACUCGUCGUGGAGUGUUGGACCACAUGAUUGAGGAUUACUAUUAUAGUUUUAAUGCUAUUUUUUCGAGUUGCAACAAAAAGGGGCAUAUUAUGAAAGUGUGUCGUAUACCUAAAAGCGACAAGAAGAUUAGUUCAACCUUUAUUGGGAAUGAGUUGAAUGCAUACGACAAACAUACUCCAAAAGCCAAUUUUAUCGAGAAUAAUAUGUAGUCACAACAAAUAAUUUCAAUUUAAAGCUUUAGCUGAUACUGGAUCACCAAUCACCAUUAUUUCUAAGAAUGUUGUCUAUAAAAAUAGUACUAAAUGGAAUUAAUCUUAUUAUCCCAAUAUCUGCAAUACAAGUGGAAAUUUAAUGAAAUUUGUCAGGCAUUGUCAAUUAACUAUAAAAUUUAAUGGUAACAUAAUUAAAGCUACAACCCUUACAAGUAUAGAGAGAAGAGCUGAAUUGCUCCUCAGAUAGAAAACUUGUCAAAGACUCUGCAUAAUUUCGAAAGACUAAUGUGAAAUAGUUCCCUCUUCAUAAAAAGGAUCAAUCAGAAGAAUUAUUAACUAAAAUACAAAACUGAGGUAUUAUUAAGCCAGAACCAGGUGUUACGGAAUGGUGUUCACCUUCAAUGAUGGUUCCAAAACCGAAUGGUAGAGAAAUGAGACUUGUAACUGGUUUUAGACGUUUAAACCGAUAUGUCAGGCGUCUAAUUCACCCUUUUCCAUCUCUUAAAGAGCAGUUCCUAAUAAAAAUAAAGUGUUCUGUACAUUAGAUUGUAAAAUUGGUUAUUUUCAGAUACCUUUGGACGAAUAAAGUAGAGCAACAUUUAACAAACCCCCGAGGAAAAUUCCAAUAUUGUCUAGCUCCGAUGGGUCUUUAUAGUUCUAACAAUGAACUUUCUGCAAGGGCAUACUCUGUUUUAAUUGGAAUGAAGAUUGUAAAGAAGAUUGUGGAUGAUAUUUUGAUAUCUGGAGAAAAUGAAGAUGAUGUUUUACAAAAGGUGGAAGAAGUACUCAGACGCUGUGAGAUGAACAAUAUUACCUCAUAAAAAGAUAAAAUUCAAUAUGGAAGAAAAGCUAAAUUUGCAGGUAUGCUCAUAUGUGGUAAAGGUAUUGAGACAGACCCUGAAAAAAUUGAUGGAAUUGUGAAGUUUCUAGACCCAAAAAAAUCUUACUGAAUAAAGAUAAUUUAUAGGAAUAGCCAAUCAAUUAAGGUCAAUUUCAUCCAUACUUUACAAAAGUUACAGCACCAUUGAGAGAACUAUUAAAGAAGAAUGUUGAAUAUCAAUGGCAAAAAGAACAACAAAAAGCUUUCGACGAAUCAAAUGGAAAUUAUGAGCUCAGCAUCCGUUUAAGCUCAUUUCGAUGUUAAAAAAAUUACGAAGUUGGUUACUUACACGAGUAAACUUAAUGGUAUGGGUUUUGCUCUCAUCCAACAGGAUAAAAGUGGGGAAUGUGAUAGAAAAUAUUUAAUUAAAUGUGGUUCUCGAACAUUAACUCCAGCCGAAACGCGAUAUUCAGCAAUGGAACUUGAAUGUUUAGCAAUUGCCUGGAGCAUAGAAAAAUGUUUGCAUUAUUCAAAAAGUGCCACUUUCUGUGUCAAAACAGAUCAUAAACCAUUGGAAGGUAUAUUUAACCGAGUUGAUACAUUAAAUCCAUGAAUAAUAAGAUUUUUAAAGAACACUACACCUUAUAACUUCAAAGUUAUGUGGAUUUCAGGGGAAAAGAAUAUUUUAGUAGAUGCGUUAUCACGAUCUCCCGUUUCCGAGUCAGAUCGAUCUGACAAUAAAAUUUACAACGUUUAUUUGAUCAAGUCUGAUCCUAAACUAAAAGAACUUGAGAAAUUUGCAAGUGAAGAUAUAAAUUAUUAAGAAAUUAAAAUAGCUUUUUUGGAAGGCAACAGAUUAAUGUUUGUAUCGAAGACUCAUCCAAUACGUUCUUACAAGUCAAUUAGGAAGAAUAUUUCACUGGAAAGCAAACUACUAAUCACGAAUGGAAAAAUAACUAUCCCAAGUAGUGCCAUUUUGUUACAUUUUGAAGAAAUUACAUAUAUGUUGGAGCCUGAAAGUUAGCCCGAGAUAGAUACUUUUAGCCCGGUAUGAUGAAUUCUAUUAAAACAAGUAACAAAACCGACAGAACCUAAUAAAAAGAUAGCAAAUCUACCUAUGGAAUAAGUAUCCCUAGACUUAUUCCACAAAAGAUCAGAAGUAUUUUUUAUUGAUGGUCGAUAGAUUUACUGGAUUUCCUUGGGUUGAACCAUUGAAAAGGACUACGACAGCAGAGGCAACUAAUAUUCUACUAGAUUGGUUUUAUGACUUUGGGUUCCCAAAACAUGUAAGAAGUGAUUGUGGCCCUCUAUUUAAGAGUAAAGAAUUCUCUAAUUUUAAUGGCAUCAUCUACGAAAUUUAAUCACUUUACUACGCUCAGUCAAAUGGACAUGCCGAAUUUCAGAAUACACCAAAGGGAGACUGAAAUUAUCCAGCUGAGAUUGUAUAAAAAAAAGAAAACUAAGAGGAGAAUUACCGAUGUACGAGAAUGAUCAAUAUAAACAGCAAAUUACUUUCCAAAAGGGGGAGAGAGUAUGUUUGCAAGAUUAGAAAUCAAAGAGAUAGAAUUGAAAGGCCGUCAUUAUAUCGAAGCAUAGGUAUGAAAAUUCUUAUGAGUUCAAAAUGGAAGACUGUCCAGAAAGCGAAGAAAUGCAAUUCGUAUAAAGCGAGAUUAUACACAAAUGGAACCAAUUUCAGAUAUAUCUAAAUCUCCGACCAAGCUGAGACGAAGUCCUCGUUUCAAUGUAUUGAAAUAAUUAUAGGAGGUUAAUUCUCUUUAAAAGGAGAGGAUGUGUAAUUGUUCUUAUUAUUAUUUAUGUAUUCAUAGUAUGUAUUACAAAUGAGUAAAUAAAUAUAGAAUCAUAUAUAUACAAUCAAA
rnacentral:lncRNA from 1 species